rnacentral:tRNA from 2 species
GGUGGGGUUCCAGAGCGGCCAAAGGGAGCAGACUGUAAAUCUGCCGUCAUCGACUUCGAAGGUUCGAAUCCUUCCCCCACCACCA